AGGGACAACAGAGCUGGGGAGGCAGACAAGAGUAGGGGUUUGUGUCUCCACUCUGCUUCCCAAUGAGGUUUCUAGGGCAGAUCACUGGCUCCCCAUCUCGUUUUGUGGCUGUCCAAGCCAGCUCGUGUCUGACUCAUCUCUCUGCCAGAUGUGCCAGCAGCAGCUGUGAGUGUGGAUGACCACAAGCAAACCCCCAGGCAGCAGACCCCUCUCUACUGUUUUUUGGGGAAAGACUUGGAAAGAUCCUGAUUCCCUGGCUUGAAAUCCAUUGCCACAAAUUAUCAUUUGCCUGUUGAUUGCUCUCAAGGGGACAAAACAUCAAGUUACAACCUGUGGUUUUCAGCCCCAGUGGGUUAGGAGCAGAAAAUCUGUUGAGACCUAAGGCUUAGAUCUGUUGGUUUGAUAUGUAGUUCAGUAAAGCACACAGGAGAGGAGCCACGAUGAAGGCUGCUUUGCCACAUCAGUGCUAGCCAAACUCCCAGUAGGGAGAUGCUUUUCAAGGAAGCUGCAAGCUAAAGAGGCCCAAUGUUGCUAAUUUUCUGCCUAAACCAAUGGUGAUGUGUUCAGCUGCUGCUUUGCUUCCUGGACAGUGGGGCUACACUUCAGUAAUGUGAAUUACUUCUCCUUUCCAGUGGUUCCUUCAGCUGCAAACAGUGUUGUGGAGUAAAUAUGAUAUAACAAAGAGCAUCCAUCAGAUUUUCAGAUGCUAGGUCAGGUUUUUAGAGUGACUCCUUUCACACUGGACAAAUGGAAUGUGUGCAUCCAGGGGACAAAAGAAAUUCUGCACAGCUCUUUCACAAUUGCAGCGUCUGUGACACAACAGCCUGAGGAGCUGGAGAGUGCAUUCUGGCCAAGCAACAAGUUCUUCAGCACAUGCACCUCAAACCCUUGCAUGCAGGCUGCAGGAGUCAUGGAAAACCUUCUGGUGACUCAAAGCUAGAGAGAAGUGUUUGUGUCCCAGCUAAACCUGCAGCCCUGUUGGUGUCAGCUGAAGUUUAAUGCAGCUGUAUUGAUACCACGUAUCCCACUUCAGCAACAGACCUGUGCAAGCUGGUUCACGGCAUCACCAUGCCAAAAAAAAAUUAAAAGAAGCAAAGUUUCUCUUCUGUGAUCCCUCUAGCUGCCUCCAUGACUCCAGCUCUACCACUACCCAGAAAAAUCUGUGUCUUCAUUUUCACUGAUAGUGAGCUCACAAAUCCAGAGAUGAACUGGAACAACAAAAACAAGAGGCUUUGAUUUGGUCCAUCAGCCCCAGUGUGGCUCUACACGAUAAGGACUCAACCUUCAGCCAGUUUGGGAAAAAGGAUGAGAAAAAGCACAGAGCACAGGGGAGGAGUGUAAGUAUGGAAGGUAGUGAGCAGCCUGGAUUGGAUAUUGAGCUGAAAAAUCAGUACCAGCAGCCUAGAAAAAAAAAAAUAAAUAAAAAUAUCCAGAGGAAGAAUAUAGCAUACUUGGAAAGGACACUGGCCAGAGCAGGCUUUGGUUUUGUUAGUUAGGACAGGAAACUCCUAACCAAAGGUGGCUUGGAAGAGAAGGAGCACAUGGAUCAAAGAAGAGGAAAUGCCAAAGAGCAUUCACCAAGUCUCUGCUCACUGCUGAAUAGCAGUGGGAGAGCAGAGCUUUUUGUGCUUGAAUAAGAAGUUUAAAGAAGUCAUUUAAAAACAGUGUAAGAACCUAGAAAAAGGAAACAACCUUAAGUGGUUGUGGGCAGCCCCUAGCAUCCUGGAAUAAAAAGAACAAUAUAAGAGGAAACACAGUCCAACAGAAAUAAUGGGGACGAUAGAGGGAGCCAAAUUAAUUCAAAAAAACAUCAGGCAAAAUUGGUACCGCAGUUCUUCUGACAAAAAGAGAGAUUAGGAGUCUUCAUUUAAGGUUCACAGAGUUCUUAGCAGUGUAGAGAGUGGGGAUACUACAAAGCUGUUUGACCCAGUGUCAAGAACAAACCAAGAUGCAGCAGUAAGAUAAGGCACAGCUGGACAUUACAGGAAUUCAGGGAGGAAUGUCAGCAUAGAGCAAGACAGAAACACAACAUAAACUCCCUUUACACGGCCAGGGGACCAAGAGUUAGCUCUGUGGAAGAAUUGGGCAUUAGGUAAUACUGUAGAAUUCUGUAGCUGGCCUAAAGGAGACUGUACCUGAGGAUUUGUCACCUCUAGAUUUUACCCACAGAGCUGUUGGUAUUUUUUAGUGCUCCUGCUUGUUGACAAAGUGCUCUGAGCUCGCCUGCCCUCUCCUCUCAGUUACUGCAGGGAGCUGGAGCUGGCUCAAUCCAGCACAGGCAGACACAAUACACAAGAGAUCAGAUACUGCCUUGCUCAAGAUCAAGUCUUGCAGUCAUUGUGCCUUGAAACACAGUCAGGGUUGGUCUCCUUCAAACAAUAAAUGAACCAAGUCAAAAGCUUUUGGGGAAAGCAGAUGCAAAGGCUGAGCUUAGAGAGAUAACUAAUAAAACACUAAAAAAUGGAGUACAUUUUGGCAAAAACCUUGGUGAGGAAGGCAUAGGAAAUCUUAUUUUUUGUGUGAAAUUUACAGCCAAGGAAAGCAAGGGCUGUGUCUGAAGAAAAAUCAGGUGUCUGAUGGCACCUUUUGUGUCAUCCUCUUUGCCAUGCCAUUUCUCAAGGGACCCUCACAGACCCCCAAAGAGCAUAGCAGUUGCAGCAGAUGAGCCUGGUAGCCCUCCUAAUCCAGUCUUCUCACUUCAACAGUUGCUACUCUCUGAUACUUCAAAGAAAGGUGCAAGAAACCCCAUAGUGGACAAUAAUAGAAUAACCCGCCCACAAGGGAAGUUUUUCCCCUAAUCCCUCGCCAUCAGUUAGUGGUUAUAUUGUGCCUUGAAGCCUGACAGUUUAUAUCCCUUCUAAAAUUUAUUUAUAUCCUGUCUAAUGUGACCAUGAAUGUUCUUGGUAUCCAUAUAAAUGUCUAAUCCUUUUCUGAAUCCUGCUAAUCUCCCGGCCUCAAUGAAACCUCGUGGUAACAAAUGCCAUGUGUUAAUUACGCACGGUACAAAUAUUUCCUUGCACCAUUUUAAAUUCGCUUCCAAUCUCACUGGGUAUCCCUUGAUCCCGCCAUAGGAGAAAGGGCAAUGAAAUCAGAGCUUGUUCUUUCUUGCUGAGCCACGCUGCUGCUCCUUGAUUUGUUUCUUCUCUAAACUAGCUGUUCCCAUCCUCAGCCAGUUUUCCCUGGUCGGGCUGUUAGGCAGUGGCCUGGCACACAGCACAGAGCUUAUAGCUUCACCUUUUUCUCUGUUGAUAUGUUCAUUUGGAAGGGAAAAAGGGAGAGGAGACCCUGGAGAUCUCAGAAGUGGGUGCUAGUUGGAGGCUGAGGUCAGACUGUUCUGUGUCAGCAGGUGUUAGCAGCAAUAUGGUGACACUGACUGAUGCCACCAGCCUUUCCCUCUCUGAGCAGAGGCAGAGCAGGGCGUCUGCAAUGUGUUUUCCCCUUCAGGCUGCUCCUGAAAGGGGAUAGAUAUCUCCCUCCAGCUCCAAGCCGGGCAUUUCACUGUUUCCUGGCAUCCACGCUGGUUAAGACCAGGCGGUGGGAUAAACCCAGCUGUGAAGGAAUUUCCCUCACCCACAGCCCAGCUCCGCACAGCUCCGCUCUGCCAGGACUGUGCUUGGACUGCAGCGGUUUCACUGCGGGUAGGAAAGCUGAGGCAGCCGGGCACAGUGAUGCUUGGUCAUUUUGAAGCCGUGCUGCCCACAGAGAGCUCGUGGGGUGAUGCAGUGACGGCACACUUGGUGUUUCACCGCAGCUCCGUCCCAUUAAGGCAGCUCCACCAGCAGGUCAUUAACACCCGCCUGUCGCCGAAUGUUUUCCCGCAGUAGUGCUCAAAACAGGGCCGCGUUGCUCUUCACCUCCGAGCCAGGAGGAGCGGGGGGAGCGGGAGCGCGGGUGACACCCGGGGGUGCCU